AGUGAACGCUGGCGGUAGGCCUAACACAUGCAAGUCGAACGGCAGCACAGUAAGAGCUUGCUCUUACGGGUGGCGAGUGGCGGACGGGUGAGGAAUACAUCGGAAUCUACUUUUUCGUGGGGGAUAACGUAGGGAAACUUACGCUAAUACCGCAUACGACCUACGGGUGAAAGCAGGGGAUCUUCGGACCUUGCGCGAUUGAAUGAGCCGAUGUCGGAUUAGCUAGUUGGCGGGGUAAAGGCCCACCAAGGCGACGAUCCGUAGCUGGUCUGAGAGGAUGAUCGGCCACACUGGAACUGAGACACGGUCCAGACUCCUAAGGGAGGCAGCAGUGGGGAAUAUUGGACAAUGGGCGCAAGCCUGAUACAGCCAUACCGCGUGGGUGAAGAAGGCCUUCGGGUUGUAAAGCCCUUUUGUUGGGAAAGAAAAGCAGCAGGUUAAUACCCCGCUGUUCUGACGGUACCCAAAGAAUAAGCACCGGCUAACUUCGUG
rnacentral:rRNA from 1 species